UACGUAGGGUGCAAGCGUUGUCCGGAAUUAUUGGGCGUAAAGAGCUCGUAGGCGGUUUGUCGCGUCUGCUGUGAAAAUCCAGGGCUUAACCCUGGACCUGCAGUGGGUACGGGCAGACUAGAGUGCGGUAGGGGAGAUCGGAAUUCCUGGUGUAGCGGUGAAAUGCGCAGAUAUCAGGAGGAACACCGGUGGCGAAGGCGGUUCUCUGGGCCUGACCUGACGCUGAGGAGCGAAAGCGUGGGGAGCGAACAGG
rnacentral:rRNA from 1 species